AAACCUGAGAAACCCAAAAGAUCGAAUGGGGAGAUUCAUCGUCAGCGAUCUUGGUACGUGUGCGGUUCGCGAUGCCGGAGACUUCGGUUUCAUGGUACGCGUCCGCAUGUUUUUUAUUGCCUCGAUCGUCGGCGUGCACUUCUCCCCUAGUAGGACGUCGCGACCCGUUGGGUGUCGGUCUACGGCCCGGUGGGCAGCCUGUCUCGUGUGCGCCUCGCGGCGUUACGCGGUUCAGACCCCCGGUUGCCCGACCGGCUGCCCGGCGGUACUCGCACGGUAUCUGGCCGCAAAUAUUCGAACUGCGUCCGGCCCGUCGCAAGCGAGGCAAGUGUUUCCCGGCUGUACGGAUCUAAUGCCGUCACCGGGCCUUGCCAGCUGUUGGCUGACGGUGUCCUAGGACAGGCUAACAGAUACCGGUCGGCGACGCUACUGCUUUGGGUACUUUCAGGACCCGUCUUGAAACACGGACCAAGGAGUCUAACAUGUGCGCGAGUCAUUGGGAACUAAUAAGCCUAAAGGCGCAAUGAAAGUGAAGGUCGGCCUUGCGCCGACCGAGGGAGGAUGGGCCGCGUCACGAUGCGGUCCCGCACUCCCGGGGCGUCUCGUUCUCAU
rnacentral:rRNA from 1 species